AAAUCACCCCCUAAGUUUUGCAACUGUGGCAGUUUUGGCCCCCAAGGCCAAAAAAUAAAAUAAAAAAUAACACGUGGCACCUCACGUAGGGUGCCACAUCAGCGUAGACCGAGUCAAAAUUGGUCUUGGAGGUCAAAACUGCCACAGGUGCAAAACUUAGGGGGCGGUUU
rnacentral:pre_miRNA from 1 species